rnacentral:pre_miRNA from 1 species
UUUUGGGUGGGGGUCAAGAGCAAUAACGGAAAACGUUGGUUAGAAACUGUUUUUCAUUACUGCUCCUGACCUCCCCCAUUUGCUCU